AUUGAACGCUGGCGGCAGGCCUAACACAUGCAAGUCGAACGCGUGGCGGACGGGUGAGUAAUGUCUGGGAACCUGCCUGAUGGCGGGGGAUAACUACUGGAAACGGUAGCUAAUACCGCAUACCAUCAGAUGUGCCCAGAUGGGAUUAGCUAGUUGGUGUGGUAACGGCUCACCAAGGCGACGAUCCCUAGCUGGUCUGAGAGGAUGACCAGCCACACUGGAACUGAGACACGGUCCAGACUCCGACGGGAGGCAGAAGUGGGGAAUAGUGCACAAUUGGCGCAAGCCUGAUGCAGCCAUGCCGCGUGUAUGAAGAAGGCCUUCGGGUUGUAAAGUACUUUCAGCGGGGAGGCGUUACCCGCAGAAUAAGCACCGGCUAACUCCGUGCCAGCCGCCGCGGUAAUAC
rnacentral:rRNA from 1 species